rnacentral:rRNA from 1 species
ACGCUCGACACCUACGGGAGGCAGCAGUUGGGAAUAUUGGACAAUGGAGGAAACUCUGAUCCAGUGACGCCGCGUGAAGGAAGAAGGUCUUCGGAUUGUAAACUUAUUUUGUCAGGGAAGAAAAAUGACUGUACCUGAAGAAAAAGACACCGGCUAACUACGUGCUAGCAGCCGCGGUAAUCUGAGCGGGCUGGCAAGGC